AUGAUGUUUCCCGGGGCCCAAAGCUGUCUAAAUCUUUGUCUUGUGUUGCGUUUUCUCAAUUCCGCUCAAACCCUCUCAAGCUACCACAUAGAUGCGUUGGCCUCACGACUAAGUCCUCACACUAGUACAUCUGCCGUGACAAUUCCACAACAGUUGGCGUCCACCGUGGGGCCUGCGCACGAUGGUGUUGAGUUCUUGAAGGGAUCUCUCCCAGGGAUCGAGAAGUUCGCGCUGGACAGGUGGAAGAAGAGCCGCCAUGGAACAAUUGCGUGGGAUAACCUAACAGGGGAUAACCUUGGGCAGAGCCAGCGAAUUCAUUGGUUGAUGAUUAGAAUCUUUAUUGACUUUGGAAGCUGGUAG
rnacentral:rRNA from 1 species